rnacentral:rRNA from 1 species
CCUACGGGAGGCAGCAGUGAGGAAUAUUGGUCAAUGGGCGCGAGCCUGAACCAGCCAAGUCGCGUGAGGGAGGACGGCCCUACGGGUUGUAAACCUCUUUUGCCGGGGAGCAACGGGCGUCACGUGUGGCGCCCCUGAUAGUACCCGGAGAAAAAGCCUCGGCUAACUCCGUGCCAGCAGCCGCGGUAAUACGGAGGAUGCGAGCGUUAUCCGGAUUUAUUGGGUUUAAAGGGUGCGUAGGCGGAUCGUUAAGUCAGUGGUCAAAUUGAGGGGCUCAACCCCUUCCCGCCAUUGAAACUGGCGCUCUUGAGUGGAAGAGAAGUAUGCGGAAUGCGUGGUGUAGCGGUGAAAUGCAUAGAUAUCACGCAGAACCCCGAUUGCGAAGGCAGCAUGCCGGCUUCCGACUGACGCUGAAGCACGAAAGCGUGGGGAUCGAACAGGAUUAGAUACCCCAGUAGUC